rnacentral:rRNA from 1 species
UAGUCCACGCCCUAAACGAUGUCAACUGGGUGUUGGGGAAGCGAUUCCUUGGUACCGUAGCUAACGCGUGAAGUUGACCGCCUGGGGAGUACGGCCGCAAGGUUAAAACUCAAAGGAAUUGACGGGGACCCGCACAAGCGGUGGAUGAUGUGGAUUAAUUCGAUGCAACGCGAACAACCUUACCUACCCUUGACAUGUCUGGGAGCCUCCUGAGAGGGGGGUGUGCCCGAAAGGGAACCGGAACAC